rnacentral:misc_RNA from 1 species
UCCGAGUUGACCCCGGCAGUCUCCCAUGAGUCCCCGGCAUGACCCGCUGGCAACAUAGGAUAAGGGUUGCGCUCGUUGCGGGACUUAACCCAGCAUCUCACGACACGAGCUGACGACAACCAUGCACCACCUGUGUACGAGUGUCCAAAGAGAACCCCAUCUCUGGGGCGUUCUCGUACAUGUCAAGCCUUGGUAAGGUGGGGAUGACGUAUUCUACG